GCCUCCCUUGGCCGCGGUCCCGACCCGGGAACACGCCGCAUGCACUCGGGAUCAGCGGCUACUGCGGAAACCCACCCGCACCUGUCUCGGGUCCUCCCAGGCACGUUCCUCUUGCUUCGUUUGCUACCAAAAGAAUUAAUGAAGGAUGUGAAUUCCUUUGGAGAGGAUGAGAAGCCCAUAGGCACAUGGGUUUCCAUUGUAAUUUGGAAAUGAGUUCACUCUUGGAUUGAGUGACGGAUUUACAAAUUUCCAUUUUAUAAGUAUGCUUAAUAACUAACACAUGUUCUACAUAUUUUUGUAUGUAUAAAACAUUAAAGAAGAUAAAUAAAAAUAUGGGAGAGAUCCAUGAAAGA
rnacentral:lncRNA from 1 species